rnacentral:rRNA from 1 species
AGCAUAUCAAUAAGCGGAGGAAAAGAAACCAACAGGGAUUGCCUCAGUAACGGCGAGUGAAGCGGCAAAAGCUCAAAUUUGAAAUCUAGCACUUUCAGUGUUCGAGUUGUAAUUUGAAGAAGGUAACUUUGGUUUUGGCUCUUGUCUAUGUUCCUUGGAACAGGACGUCACAGAGGGUGAGAAUCCCGUGCGAUGAGAUGCCCAAUUCCAUGUAAAGUGCUUUCGAAGAGUCGAGUUGUUUGGGAAUGCAGCUCUAAGUGGGUGGUAAAUUCCAUCUAAAGCUAAAUAUUGGCGAGAGACCGAUAGCGAACAAGUACAGUGAUGGAAAGAUGAAAAGAACUUUGAAAAGAGAGUGAAAAAGUACGUGAAAUUGUUGAAAGGGAAGGGCUUGAGAUCAGACUUGGUAUUUUGCGUUCCCUUCCUUUUUGGUUGGGUUCCUCGCAGUUUACUGGGCCAGCAUCGGUUUGGAUGGUAGGAUAAUGACAUUGGAAUGUAGCUUUACUUCGGUGAAGUGUUAUAGACUUUGUUGAUACUGCCUAUCUAGACCGAGGACUGCGUCUUUGACUAGGAUGCUGGCGUAAUGAUCUUAAGCCGCCCGUCUUGAAACACGGACCAAGGAGUCUAACGUCUAUGCAAGUGUUUGGGUGUAAAACCCGUACGCGUAAUGAAAGUGAACGUAGGUGAGAGCCUUUUAGGUGCAUCAUCGACCGAUCCUGAUGUCUUCGGAUGGAUUUGAGUAAGAGCAUAGCUGUUGGGACCCGAAAGAUGGUGAACUAUGCCUGAAUAGGGUGAAGCCAGAGGAAACUCUGGUGGAGGCUCGUAGCGGUUCUGACGUGCAAAUCGAUCGUCGAAUUUGGGUAUAGGGGCGAAAGACUAAUCGAACCAUCUAGUAGCUGGUUCCUGCGA